CUGCUCUGGCAGCAUAUAAACUAAAACUGGAACAAUACAGAGAUUAGCAAGACCCUUGCACAAGAAUGAUGCACAAAUUCAAGAAGCACUCUGUAUUUUU
rnacentral:snRNA from 1 species